rnacentral:rRNA from 1 species
CCCGAGGCUGGUGCUUGCUUGUCUUGCGCUUCGCUCCGACGGAUGCUUUUAUUAGACCAAGCCGCUGAGGACUUGAGGGUGUUAAAACCUUCCUGUUCGACUCGUGUGAUGGUGACUCUGGAUAACCAAUUCUGACAAGCGCACGUACUCCUCUUCUGAGCGAGACGGCGCUGCCACUUUCGAGUGUCUGCCUUAUCAGCUAUCAACCGUUCGUUAUGCGCGACCGAUGGCUUUGACGGGUAACGGGGAAUCAGGGUUCGAUUCCGGAGAGGCAGCCUGAGAGACGGCUACCACGUCCAAGGACGGCAGCAGGCACGCAAAUUACCCAAUCCCAGCAAAUGGGGGAGGUAGUGACGAAAUCUAACGAUGCGGGCGCCCUUUCUGGGGCCCCGCAAUCGGAAUGGGCACUUUCUAAAACACCUGUUGAGAACCUACUGAAGGGCAAGUCUGGUGCCAGCAGCCGCGCUAAUUCCAGCUUCAGCAGCAUCUAUUAAAGUUGCUGCGGUUAAAAGGCUCGCAGUUGAAUGUCUGUAUCGAGCGCAGGUCAGGUGGACGUUGGGGCGUGGAAGUACGGGCAGUUGGAUGUGCGUGCUCGCGCGUUGUCACACUCCUUCUCUUCGGAGUUGCCUGUGUGUGUUCUUCGUGUGUCUCGUGUGUUCUUCGGCUUUUCCACACACCGCCGUCCGUGACAAGCCUCCUCGCUCGGGUACAUAACGGGAAUCGGUUACCGGAGUGUAGUUCGAGAUGUGUUGAGUUGGUGGCGUUUGUGUUGGGGCGCAAGUUCCUUCGCUCGGUCGUCUCUCUUCUUGCGUUUCGGCUGCGUUAAGCUCCAUCGGUUUCACGGUCACCUUGAGUAAAUCAGAGUGCUCAAAGCAGUCGUAAGGGCCUUGCGCCCUGUGAACAGUCUUGACGGACUGACUUGGUUUUGCAUGGCAUGUCGGAAGACGACGUCGUGUGCUGGCUCAGAGGAUAAAUCAGUGGUACAAGCCAGCCUCGACGUAAUGAUUAAAAGGGACGGUCGAGGGCAUUGGUAUUGCGAGGCGAGAGGUGAAAUUCUGUGACCCCCGCAAGACCUCCUGAAGCGAAAGCGUUUGCCAAGGACGUUUUCAUUAAUCAUGAACGAAAGUUAGAGGAUCGAAGGCGAUCAGAUACCGCCCUAGUUCUAACCCUAAACGAUGCCAACCAUCAAUCCGCGCGCAGCACCCUUCUUAACGGGCUCGGCGGGCAGCUCCCCACUCACGGGAAACCAGAGCCUCUGGGUUCCGGGGGGAGUCUGGUUGCAAAGCUGAAACUUAAAGGAAUUGACGGAAAGGCACCACCAGGCGUGGAGCCUGCGGCUUAAUUUGACUCAACACGGGCCAUCUCACCAGGCCAGCACUCUUGUACGAUUGACAGAUUGAGAGCUCUUUCUCGAUUCAGUGGAGGGGGGGGCACGGCCGUUUCUAGUGGUGGGAGUGAUCUGUCUGGUUAAUUCUGAUAACGAGCGAGACUCUCCCCCGCUAACUAUUGGGUGGGAUAUUGAUCACAGGGUGGCGUGUGGAGUAACUCUCGCUGCGUGCGCGCACAUGUGUUGUGUUGGGGGGGGUCUUUUUUGGGGCAACCCGCUUGAGCGUCGUUUGCGUGCGGUCGUGUGUGUGUGCGUGGUGUUGGAUGCCUUGGAUCACACUGCACCCCAAGUCCGCCGCUUAUGCUAUAACUCUUCUUAGAGGGAUUCACGGCACUGAAGCCGUAAGAGACUGAGAGCAAUAACAGGUCUGUGAUGCCCUUAGAUGCUCUGGGCCGCACGCGCGCUACAAUGCCGGGCACAGCAGGUGUUCUUCCUGCUCCGACAGGAGCGGGUAACCCUCUGAAAGCCAGUGUUUUUGCAAGUGCUUCCUCCCUCGUGGAGUUGCACAGAGGCGUGCUUGGGCCUGGGACUUGCAAUUCUUUCCCACCAACGAGGAAUGCCUAGUAGCGGCGGGUCACUGAGCCCGCUGUGACUCAGUCCCUGCCCUUUGUACACACCGCCCGUCGCUACUACCGAUUGGGUGUACCAGUGAGAGCCUUGGACUGGCGUCCGUUGUCGCUUUCGGUG